GAACAAGUUCUCCCUUUAGGCGACUGACCUUCACUUGACUCAUAGAAGCCUGGAGAAAAGGACAACUUGUGUGAGAGAAGAGGAGGUGCGAUUGCGAGGGUGAAUGGUUGCUGGCGACCGGUUCUGGGUGCACCCCCACCUAUCGUCCGAAGUCAACAGGGAAAAGCGCUGGCGCACCCGCAACACUAGUGAGGAUAAGCGCUUCGGAAAAUGGACGGAUGGAUAGACUGUGCAGGGGUAACUAAUGCUGAGGCUGGUGACCGUGUUGGGCACGGAGGUUCAGGACUUCUGCCCAUGUACCUGAACUCGGUGGACUGUCACCUGUGUCUCCUUGAGCGGCGUCUUGGUGGUCGGUGUCGACGCGCAGCUCUCCCACCUGCUGCUCCAGCGCCUGCAUGAGACCCCACGGCGAACUCUGGAGAGC